AUUUGAGAAGAGAUGGCUGAACCUUGACCACGUCGGAUUUGGAGAGUUUCCAAAAUCCUAUUUUGCUCUACGCAGCGAAGCGGAUGUCGUACACUCCGUUUGUGUACAAGACCAGGACCCUGUUGGCUGCGAUUGAUUACAAUAUGCACAAUCGACGUGUGCCAGCACUAAACAAGGAUGGCCACAAAAUGUACAAAAAAUCGUACAAUAAAAAAUAAAAAAACUGGGCUGUGUAUACAAUUAAGGAGAAGAAGGAAUACAAAUACAUCCCUGACCUCCAGAAGGCCAUUCUUGGUAGGAGGCUGAAGAGUGGGACCGGCCUUCCCUGCAAGACCACGCUAAGGCCAGAAGAUCCCAGGCGACUUGGUUUGCUUUCCUCUGCAGAGCCAUCACCGCCCACGUCGGAGCUCAUCCAAAGACAUGUGUCACGAGGGGAGUCUACGACCUCAAACCCCUAGAGAACUGACACUAUUCCCUCUUACAACUGUCAAUGUGUAAAUA